rnacentral:lncRNA from 10 species
UGACCUCAGGUGAUCCACCCACCUACACCUUCCAAAGUGCUGGGAUUACAGGCGUGAGCCACACUCUAUCUUUUUUUUUUUUUUUUUUUUUAAUUCUUCAGCUAAAACAGUGGAAAAGGUGAUUUAUUAUAUGGUUGUUACACUCGGCCACAAAUAAACACAGAAAUAGUCCAGAAUGUCACAGGUCCAGGGCAGAGGACCAACAAGCUAGCGGUUUACUUGGACCUCUGCCUCAUCUUUCUUCUUUUGCGCUUCAGCCUGCGCAUUCGCUUCUUCCUCCACUUGGCUCUCAUGGCACAGAGGUUUCCAAAAAAAAUGGCGCUAAGGCCGAGAGCCACACUCUAUCUUUUUUUAAGAGACAAGAUCUCACUUUGUUGCCCAGGCUGGGGUGCCAUCAUAGCUCACUGCAGCCUCGAAC